CCUACGGGAGGCAGCAGUGAGGAAUAUUGGACAAUGGACGCAAGUCUGAACCAGCCAUGCCGCGUGCAGGAAGACGGCUCUAUGAGUUGUAAACUGCUUUUGUACGAGGGUAAACGCAGAUACGCGUAUCUGACUGACAGUAUCGUACGAAUAAGGAUCGGCUAACUCCGUGCAAGCAGCAGCGGUAAUACGGAGGAUCGAAGUGUUAUCCGGAUUUAUUGGGUUUAAAGGGUGAGUAGGCUGUGAGGUAAGUCAGCGGCGAAAUGCCCCCGCUCAACGGGGUGAAGUGCCAUUGAUACUGCCUGGCUGGAAUGCGGAUGCGGUGAGAGGAAUGUGUGGUGUAGCGGUGAAAUGCAUAGAUAUCACACAGAACACCGAUUGCGAAGGCAUCUCACGGGUCCGCGAUUGACGCUGAUGCACGAAAGCGUGGGUAUCAAACAGGAUUAGAUACCCUUGUAGUC
rnacentral:rRNA from 1 species